rnacentral:rRNA from 1 species
CUCUAAUAGCAUAUAUUAAAGUUGUUGCAGUUAAAAAAGCUCGUAGUCGAAUUUCGGGCUCGUGUGGGCUGUCGGCUUAGGUCGGAUGGCAUGCGCGGGCCUUUCUGCUUGGGAGUCUCAGGGAGGUUAACGCCUUCUUGGUGAGUCACAGGCCGUUUACUUUGAAAAAAUUAGAGUGUUCAAAGCAGGCUGUUGCUUGA